UGGGGAAUUUUGGACAAUGGGGGCAACCCUGAUCCAGCCAUGCCGCGUGAGUGAAGAAGGCCUUCGGGUUGUAAAGCUCUUUCGGCCGGAACGAAAUCGCGUACGUGAAUAACGUGCGUGGAUGACGGUACUGGAAGAAGAAGCACCGGCUAACUACGUGCCAGCAGCCGCGGUAAUACGUAGGGUGCGAGCGUUAAUCGGAAUUACUGGGCGUAAAGCGUGCGCAGGCGGUUCUGUAAGUCAGAUGUGAAAUCCCCGGGCUUAACCUGGGAACUGCGUUUGAAACUACGGGGCUAGAGUACGGCAGAGGGGGGUGGAAUUCCACGUGUAGCAGUGAAAUGCGUAGAUAUGUGGAGGAACACCGAUGGCGAAGGCAGCCCCCUGGGCCGAUACUGACGCUCAGGCACGAAAGCGUGGGGAGCAAACAGGAUUAGAUACCCUGGUAGUCCACGCCCUAAACUAUGUCAACUAGUUGUCGGGAAAGCAAUUUCUUGGUAACGAAGCUAACGCGUGAAGUUGACCGCCUGGGGAGUACGGUCGCAAGAUUA
rnacentral:rRNA from 1 species